rnacentral:rRNA from 1 species
ACGGAGAGUUUGAUCCUGGCUCAGAACGAACGCUGGCGGCGUGCUUAAUACAUGCAAGUCGAACGAGAAAGCCCGGCUUCGGUUGGGCGAGUAAAGUGGCGAACGGGUGAGUAACACGUGGGCAAUCUGCCCUCGAGUCUGGGAUAAUCCCUCGAAAGGGGGUCUAAUACCGGAUAACACCAUCUAUGGGCAUCCUGUGAUGGUCAAAGGCGGGGAAACCUGCCACUUGGGGAUGAGCCCGCGCCCCAUUAGCUUGUUGGUAGGGUAAUGGCCUACCAAGGCGAUGAUGGGUAGCCGGCCUGAGAGGGCGACCGGCCACACUGGGACUGAGAUACGGCCCAGACUCCUACGGGAGGCAGCAGUAGGGAAUAUUGCGCAAUGGACGAAAGUCUGACGCAGCAACGCCGCGUGGGUGAUGAAGCUUCUUGGAGUGUAAAACCCUGUCAGUGGGGAAGAAACGUACGGGGAGUCACUACCCUGUGCCUGACGGUACCCACAGAGGA